UUUUCUUUCAUUUAUUUUAUGUAAUAUAUGCAGUAGUAAUUUUGCAUCAAAUAAUUAUUAUAUUUCAUAUAGACAUCUCUUGCAAUCAAACCUUACAAACAUAUGUGCCCCUCACAUGUUUGUAUGUUGUGUUUGUGUAUAUGUCUUGUAAAUAAGAAUCAAUUCAUGUUUUAUUUGUUAUUUUCUGUGAUAGCUUUUAUUAGAAUUACAUCCAUUCUCAGGAGAGGCAUUGAUUGCUUUAUUUUGUGCAAUAACUUGUUUUAUUGUAUGCUUUCAAAGACAUAUUUUUAUUUGUAACACCAUAGAGUCUCGUGAGAAAAAGUGCUGUCAAUUGGCUGUUUUAAAAUCUAAAGCAUCAUGGGUAAUUUCGUUGUUCGUAACCCCAAAAUGAAAAUAAAGUCACAUCAUUGGUUGAAUUUCCAUUGUUUAUGACAUUUUUAACCAAUCAAGACGUUUUGGUGUACACUUUUGAAAAUAUUACCCAGGUUGCAUUAGAUUCUGAAAUGUCAAUUUGUAAUUCCAACAGUGUUUAAAAAUCUUUUCUGGAAAAUAUUUUUAUAUUUAUUAAUUGUUAUUUAUUAUGAAGAGAUUUGUUGUUAAAUGUUCAUUAACUCUGUCAGUUCUAUUGGCAGGAAACAAUAAAGUAUUUUAGA
rnacentral:lncRNA from 1 species